rnacentral:rRNA from 1 species
ACGGGAGGCAGCAGUGGGGAAUAUUGCACAAUGGGGGAAACCCUGAUGCAGCGACGCCGCGUGAGUGAUGAAGUAUUUCGGUAUGUAAAGCUCUAUCGAUGGGGAAGAAAAUGACGGUACCCAAGUAAGAAGCCCCGGCUAACUACGUGCCAGCAGCCGCGGUAAUACGUAGGGGGCAAGCGUUAUCCGGAUUUACUGGGUGUAAAGGGAGCGUAGGUGGCAUGGCAAGUCAGAGGUGAAAACCCAGGGCUUAACCUUGGGAUUGCCUUUGAAACUGUUAAGCUAGAGUGCAGGAGGGGUAAGCGGAAUUCCUAGUGUAGCGGUGAAAUGCGUAGAUAUUAGGAAGAACACCGGUGGCGAAGGCGGCUUACUGGACUGUAACUGACACUGAGGCUCGAAAGCGUGGGGAGCAAACAGGAUUAGAUACCCUGGUA